GACACAAGCGUCCUAAAAGUGUCCUUUUUUUGUUGAGCUGAAUCUCAGGAAUGAUUCUCAAAGAACUACACUUCCCAGAGUGCACCAGCACUUGAUCAGUCAUUGUCAUGGAGCACCUGAAAAGACAUGGAGGUUCUUAGUCAUUCAGAGAAACAAACUUCAGAGAGAAGACACUCCAAAGAUGCCAAUGACUGCAACCCUGGGGAAAACCUACGAAUCUGGUAGUCACCGUGUUCAUCGUAACAUGACCUAUAGGGACCGCAUGCUGUUGGAGAUGAGCUCCAGCACACCACAUGGGGAUCCACACAUCAGGGAAUCUCAUUUGUGUCACAAUAGAGCUCCAGAACUUUCUGAAUGAAGCUUCUGUCCGGAAGAGGAUUGGAGAAAAGCCAUGAUAAUCCAUGGCAACCAUCACUCCACUUGGCCAUCUUAUGAACUUCACGACCUCACAGAGUGGAUAGAGACCUUUAUGGCUAGAGGUUUGGGACUUUGG